rnacentral:rRNA from 1 species
UCCAGACUCCUACGGGAGGCAGCAGUGAGGAAUAUUGGUCAAUGGCCGGAAGGCUGAACCAGCCAAGCCGCGUGAGGGAGGAAGGCGCAGAGCGUCGCAGACCUCUUUUGCCGGGGGACAAAAGGCCGGACUCGUCCGGUCCUGAGGGUACCCGGAGAAAAAGCAUCGGCUAACUCCGUGCCAGCAGCCGCGGUAAUACGGAGGAUGCGAGCGUUAUCCGGAUUUAUUGGGUUUAAAGGGUGCGUAGGCGGAAGGUUAAGUCAGCGGUCAAAUGUCGGUGCUCAACACCGGCCUGCCGUUGAAACUGGUCUUCUUGAGUGAGCGAGAAGUAUGCGGAAUGCGUGGUGUAGCGGUGAAAUGCAUAGAUGUCACGCAGAACUCCGAUUGCGAAGGCAGCAUACCGGCGCUCAACUGACGCUGAGGCACGAAAGCGUGGGGAUCGAACAGGAUUAGAUACCCCAGUAUC